rnacentral:rRNA from 1 species
CUAUAUUUUGGAACAGAUGGAGUAGUAAACAAGCCACCUUUUGGGUAUGAAACCCAUUUGGGCGAGAGUAGUACUAGGAUGGGUGACCUCCUCGGAAGUCCUCGUGAAAGGGUUUC